CGAAGGGGGCUAGCGUUGUUCGGAAUUACUGGGCGUAAAGCGCGCGCAGGCGGUUUUUCAAGUCAGUGGUGAAAGCCCGGAGCUCAACUCCGGAACUGCCAUUGAAACUGUAAACUUGAGGAUGAGAGAGGUGAGUGGAAUUCCCAGUGUAGAGGUGAAAUUCGUAGAUAUUGGGAAGAACACCGGUGGCGAAGGCGGCUCACUGGCUCAUAUCUGACGCUCAGGCGCGACAGCGUGGGGAUCAAACAGGAUUAGAUACCCUGGUAGUCCACGCCGUAAACGAUGAAUGCUAGCCGUUGGGCAGCUUGCUGUUCAGUGGCGCAGCUAACGCAUUAAGCAUUCCGCCUGGGGAGUACGGCCGCAAGGUUG
rnacentral:rRNA from 1 species